rnacentral:piRNA from 1 species
UGCUGCUAAGACCUUUCUUUAAGC